CCGCAAUGUCUGGGUAGGGGAGACUGUGUCAGGAGUGGCUGAAAUUUGCUAUCAAUACCAGUAUUGAACUGUGUCUAUUCAAGCCACGAAACACCUCCUGACCCCAAGAAAAGAAGGAAAAAAGAAAAAAGGAAAGAGGAAAGGGAAAAAGAAGAAUGAAGGAAGAAAGGAGGAAGGAAGAAGAAAAAGGAAGAAGAAAGCUGCAAGGAAGGAGGGAAAGAAGGAGGAAAGAGGAAGAACAGAAGAGUUUUCACCUUGAAGAUGCCUUGAAAGUGUAUCGGGGCCCCAGAGCUCUCUGGACCACUUUGAGAACCACUCAGUCCUCUAAACUGCUGAAAACUGGUGCCUUUGUGAACACAAAUCAGGGCAACUUGGAGUUUCUGUGCUGGAAGGACGGCUUCAGAGGAGCUCAUCGUGGCCAGAAAAAUGCAGGAGGAUGAAGAGGUGAAUCUGGGAGGCAGACAGGAACAAUCAACUGAACAAAUACAGGAUGCCAGCCUGUGUGAAGUGUAGCAGAGGGCGUGCAAAGACAUCGCUCUGCCCUCGGGCUUCUGAAGAAGCCUGUGCGCGCGCGGCCAGGAAUGCAGGGCGCAGCGACCUCUCGACCCACGGCCAGCGCACCGCCCCAGCGCCACAGCCUGGGAUCCCAGAGCCACAGCCUGGGAUCCCUGAGCCACAGCCUGGGAUCCCUGAGCCGGCCCGGCCGCCACGAACACUCAGGGCCACGUGGCCUGACGUCUGCAGUGGGAGAUUCAGACGGAACUGUUUGCUGACUGCCUACAACAUGCCAGGCACCACAUGCCAGCAGAGGCCAUCGAGACACUCUGCCUCUGUCCCCAGUGCCCCACAUAUUUCCAGCUCACAGAUACGUUUUGUUUGGCCUUGCGACAAUUUUAAAGCUUGUAAAAUAAUAAAGUAAUAUAAUUUUAGUAAUAUUAAAAUGACAUUAAUUAAAAUUAUGUGAACCCUGAAAAUCUGAGACCGGUCUCAGUUAAUUUAAAAAGUUUACUUGGCUGGGUGUGGAGGCUCACGCCUGUAAUCUCAGCACUUUGGGAGGCUGAGGCGGGCGGAUCACA
rnacentral:lncRNA from 1 species